ensembl:lncRNA
GGAGGCAAUUUGAAGGGUAGGAUGCAGGCAAGAUGGGACACUUGCUGUCCAGCUGUGUUUCUGGAGGGUGUCCAAAAAGUUCUAAAACAGCUCAACUCAAUGGUAGAAAGAUGUCAGUCUCUUAAAAUUCUUUGUCAUCAGGGAAACUUUAAAUCCACAUUGAUAUUCAGUUCUAUUUAAGUGGACAAAAUAAAAAUCGAGAAAUUGGGAGCAAAUCUAUUGCAUGGACUAGGUUGAGCACAGAAAACACAGUACAUUUAAGCAGUCCCCGAAUUUGUUAUGGAGUGCUCUGAGUCCCCAGUAAAAAUGAUUUGGCUUUGCUUAUCUGGUCAAGAAUACACGAUUAUCGAUAAGAGACUCCAACGGCCAAAGAUAAUUUCUCUUUAAAGAUAACUCAUCUGUGAAAUGAGGCAGUUAGGCAAGGUAAUCUCUAUGUCCCUUCCAGUUGGAACGUUUUCUGAGAUUUUCUAGGCGGAUUCCAAGUCCGCCUAUCAAACUGCUUGGUCUAUUCUGCAGGAUGUUCCUCUUCCAACAGCGAAUUCUGCAGGUUCAAUCCAGACCUUCAAGAACCACAGCUUCUUGGGCCCUGCUACCCUCUGACUAUAAUCCUGCCCGUGAAAGAAGUCUUCGGGGGGUGAUGCACCUGUUUUGCUGCUGAUAUUGGCAAUGACAGAGCUAUCAUUACGAGAUCUGAGACCCAAUGAUUCGCCCACAAGUGUCAGAGGAGACAUCAAGAUUGCAAAUUUAGUACCAGAAGGAGCCUUCCAGAUCAUUUGGUCCACCUUACCCCGAAUGCAAGUCCAAAUCCAUCAUGCUUUCCGCAGGUCUACUAAGCCAGACUUCUCUGCCCUUCGACUUCACUGUGUAGGAGCUGAGACUAACAAGGAGCUAGUCUUGUUUCAAAGUCACACUUUGUACUCGGCUGUCUCACUCAAGCAUGAAGAAUGAUUCAUGAACAGGGAAUCGGCUGGAAAGGAUCACUGACUCCAGAACUGGCACAACGGUCCUGGGAUCAUCAAAGACAGGUAGCAGCCCAUCUCAGCCUUCAAAAACAACCGAGGGAAACAAAAAAGUUUUGUUCCUUAUCAGAUCUCAGAAGAUACAUAGGUACUGACGUAUAUCCAGCAGUGUCCUAUCAUGAAGAAUAAAAUUUUGUCAUUGGAAGGAAUCCAGUUCGGUGACUUCAAUCCAGAUAGGGCAAUACAAUGGAAAAAAGGACUGGGUCUGACGCUCUGCUCUGCUAUUUACCCGAAAUGUGGCUUUAUUUUGCUGGACCUGGACUUCCCUCUCUGAAGGAAGGGAGUUGGGUGGGAUGACCUUUGUGGUCCUUGCACAAUCUGUUCUCCAGCCCAGAGAUUGUGACGAUUUAGUGCCCUUGAUCAGGCCAAAAAGUUCAGCCUCCUGCCUGCGCUCUCUUAAUUUAGUUCAAUUUAAAUUCGGUUUGAUAAAUACAGGCCUUUCAUCCCAUGCUUCCUUGAUGUCAGCCUCAUAGGAGGAAGAGAAUCCCAGAAUCACAAAAUCUCAGAACUAAGAGUCUUUGGUGGUCACCUAGUCCAAACAACACCUCCACAAGAACCCCUAGUCCUCUCUACAUUGUUUCUUAUAAGCCCUGAAGAUGUGGACAUGAAGAAUAUUAUAUUUAGUCAACAAGGGUCAACAAAACAAAAAUUCUAAAUGAAAACAAUUUAAUUGGCUAGGGGCAGGGGUAAAGGGAGGUGGGUAUGUGGGUGAGUGUUCUAUGUUGCCAUCUAGGUAGCAUGUUAUUUGAGGACAGAAACUAUUACCUCUAUUUCAAACUAUUCAUUUGGUUUUUUUAUGUCUUCCCCGCAGUGUUCCAACUCUUCUGCUAUGUUGUGGAGAGAUUUCUGACCCAAAUAUCUUAGAGUUGUCUGCCAAAGGGCCUCAGUGCCAUGAUAAAUAAAGAGGUAGAAGGCCCGAGUCUGAUUCUGAAACUGAAUCAAAUACAAAUACAAC